GUUACGGUGGCUCGGGAGUCCAGGCACCCUUUGGCUGAGUCUCCCAUCGCAGGGUCUCUCAAUGGCUGCCAGUUAAGAUGUUGACCAGGGCUGGGUGUCAUCUGAGGGUGUGAGUGAGGAAGGAUUCACUUCUAAACUUAGACGUUUAUUGGCGAGUUUCCGUUCUUCACAGGCUAUUGGCCAGAGGCCACCUUGCGUUCCUUGCCACCUGGUCCUCCCCACAGGGCAGCUUACAACAUACGGCUGAGUUCAUUAAAGCCAGCAGGAAGGAUUCUGCUGCAAAGACAGACGUCCCAAUCUUUGUAACCUAAUCACUGGACUGGUAACUCAUCACCUUUGCCGCAUUCUUUUGGUUAGAGGCAAGUCACAGGUCCUGCCCACAAGCAGUGGAAGGGGAUACACAGAGAGAGAACUCCAGCAGGUGGGGCUCACGGAGGACGCAUCUUAGGGUCUGUCCACCACAGCUGCUCUCAAGGUUGUGUGCUGGGGCGAGGGAGCUGCAGUGUCCACCCCUGUCCGUCAGCCAGGAAGGGCUGCCUCUGGGGUGGGCACUUAAACUCCCAGGCACGUCUGGCCCCCCAGGCUUCCUGAGAUCACUGGCGUAGUGAGUUCCUGCCACCUGAGGUGGUCCCAGGCUGCCUGUUGGGGGUGGGGGAGUAUAUUAAUGGGGUGCAAGGCUGACAUGGCUGGAGUACAGACAGCAUCUGUGUCCUUUCUUUUCAGAAAUAAAUUUGCUGGGUUUUACCCUGUGGAGUGGACAGAACUGCUCCAGUUUAUGCAUAAGGGACCAGAAGAGGCGAGGAAACUUGUCCAGGGUCACGGAGGUGGCAGAGUUGAGAAUCAAACCCAGGAGGAUUACACCGUAAGCUCCGGAGGGGAACUGGGGGCUCAUUUCCCUGUCAACAUGUCUACAACCGGGUCAGACCGAGGAAAGCAGUUUCGCCACACACCACCUGGAAGCAACACUUUUGAGAAGCUGGAGGCAGCAAGUUGAAUUUGAUGCCAUCCUCGCACUUUCAAGGAAGCUGUAUCCUCUGGAGUCCCCACGCAUACCAGACUGUCCAGUCUCAGAUACCUCACAAAAAGGACUAAAUCCACUCGUUAACCACAGACUUCGGUUGAUUUUGAAGUGACUGCUUCACGGGUACUUCAGGGGCCCCGAGCAGGGAACAGGAAAUCCACAGUAACCUCAAGGGCUUGGCUUGCGGUGAGAACUACCACGUGGCGGUGCGUAACACAAGCUGGCGUGCAGCUGGCCGUGCGCACCGCUGGAACGUUUGUCUGGUACACGCACCAGACGGCAGCUCAGUAUCAGAGGGACUGAAAGGCACUCACGGAGAAAGUGUGGGUCCUUCAUUCCUGGGGAGGGGGGACCUGAUGGCUUAAACAUGAUAGCUCUUCCCCCGAAGUCUUUGAGUCUGCAUUGCUCAUGGCUGAACAUCUCGAGUAAACCCAGUCCACAGCCCCAAUCUCUCAAACCUGUGACAGUUCUUCAGUCUAUGACACGGAUCAGAAAACUUAUUAAGAGGCUCCAUAUUUUAGCCUUUGCAAGCCUCACAGUCUGUUGCAAUCACCCAGCACUGCCAUGGGGGCCCCAGAGCAGCCAUAUGCAGAAGGUCAACGGAUGGGCGUGGUGUUGUACCAAUAAAGCUUUAUUUACAAAACCAGACAGCCGGCCCUUGGGCUGUAAUUGGUCUUUUGUGUCAAACUAAGCACACCAAAAUAAUAAUAAAGUAAGAAAUAUGUAUGGGCUUCUGUCAUGUGUAUUUGCUAGAUCUGCUAGAUUAUUUGAUUCUAUUUUAGAAAACAUGAGAAGCUCUGAAGAAGCAAGCAGCUCAUGAGACACAUGAGACGUCUUAAGUAAGCAGAGCGUGUGGGCGCUGUGCAGAGACACAAGGGGACUGCAGGAUCAGGACCUCAACAUUGGUAAGGUCGUAAGUUGGC